rnacentral:rRNA from 1 species
UGGGGAAUAUUGGACAAUGGGCGAAAGCCUGAUCCAGCCAUGCCGCGUGUGUGAAGAAGGUCUUCGGAUUGUAAAGCACUUUAAGUUGGGAGGAAGGGCAGUAAGUUAAUACCUUGCUGUUUUGACGUUACCGACAGAAUAAGCACCGGCUAACUCUGUGCCAGCAGCCGCGGUAAUACAGAGGGUGCAAGCGUUAAUCGGAAUUACUGGGCGUAAAGCGCGCGUAGGUGGUUCGUUAAGUUGGAUGUGAAAGCCCCGGGCUCAACCUGGGAACUGCAUCCAAAACUGGCGAGCUAGAGUAUGGUAGAGGGUGGUGGAAUUUCCUGUGUAGCGGUGAAAUGCGUAGAUAUAGGAAGGAACACCAGUGGCGAAGGCGACCACCUGGACUGAUACUGACACUGAGGUGCGAAAGCGUGGGGAGCAAACA